CCUACGGGUGGCUGCAGUGGGGAAUAUUGGACAAUGGGGGGAACCCUGAUCCAGCGACGCCGCGUGAGUGAAGAAGUAUUUCGGUAUGUAAAGCUCUAUCAGCAGGAAAGAAAAUGACGGUCCCUGACUAAGAAGCCCCGGCUAACUACGUGCCAGCAGCCGCGGUAAUACGUAGGGGGCAAGCGUUAUCCGGAUUUACUGGGUGUAAAGGGAGCGUAGACGGUUGUGCAAGUCUGAAGUGAAAUGCCGGGGCACAACCCGGGAACUGCUUUGGAAACUGUGAAGCUGGAGUGCAGGAGAGGUAAGCGGAAUGCCUGGUGUAGCGGUGAAAUGCGUAGAGAUUAGGAGGAACAUCGGCGGCGAAGGCGGCUUACUGGACUGUAACUGACGUUGAGGCUCGAAGGCGUGGGGAGCAAACAGGAUUAGAUACCCCUGUAGUC
rnacentral:rRNA from 1 species